AGAGUUUGAUCCUGGCUCAGGAUGAACGCUGGCGGCGUGCCUAACACAUGCAAGUCGAGCGGAGUUACGCGCUGACGAAGCCUUCGGGCCUAGUCUUGUGUAACUUAGCGGCGGACGGGUGAGUAACAGGUGGAUAAUCUGCCCUUUGCUGUGGAAUAACAUCCAGAAAUGGGUGCUAAUACCGCAUAAGCCUACGAGAU
rnacentral:rRNA from 1 species